CGGGGAGGCGUGCUACCAUGCAAGUCGAACGGUGAAGCCCAGCUUGCUGGGUGGAUCAGUGGCGAACGGGUGAGUAACACGUGAGCAACCUGCCCUCCACUUCGGGAUAAGCCUUGGAAACGAGGUCUAAUACCGGAUACGAGCACCUACCGCAUGGUGGGUGUUGGAAAGUUUUUCGGUGGGGGAUGGGCUCGCGGCCUAUCAGCUUGUUGGUGGGGUAAUGGCCUACCAAGGCGUCGACGGGUAGCCGGCCUGAGAGGGCGACCGGCCACACUGGGACUGAGACACGGCCCAGACUCCUACGGGAGGCAGCAGUGGGGAAUAUUGCACAAUGGGCGAAAGCCUGAUGCAGCGACGCCACGUGAGGGAUGACGGCCUUCGGGUUGUAAACCUCUUUCAGCAGGGAAGAAGCGCAAGUGACGGUACCUGCAGAAGAAGCGCCGGCUAACUACGUGCCAGCAGCCGCGGUAAUACGUAGGGCGCAAGCGUUGUCCGGAAUUAUUGGGCGUAAAGAGCUCGUAGGCGGUCUGUCGCGUCUGGUGUGAAAUCUCAUGGCUCAACUGUGAGCUUGCAUCGGGUACGGGCAGACUAGAGUGCUGUAGGGGAGACUGGAAUUCCUGGUGUAGCGGUGGAAUGCGCAGAUAUCAGGAGGAACACCGAUGGCGAAGGCAGGUCUCUGGGCAGUUACUGACGCUGAGGAGCGAAAGCAUGGGGAGCGAACAGGAUUAGAUACCCUGGUAGUCCAUGCCGUAAACGUUGGGCACUAGGUGUGGGGCCAGUUCCACUGGUUCUGUGCCGUAGCUAACGCAUUAAGUGCCCCGCCUGGGGAGUACGGCCGCAAGGCUAAAACUCAAAGGAAUUGACGGGGGCCCGCACAAGCGGCGGAGCAUGCGGAUUAAUUCGAUGCAACGCGAAGAACCUUACCAAGGCUUGACAUGUACGAGAAAGCCCCAGAGAUGGGGUUCUCUUUGGACACUCGUACACAGGUGGUGCAUGGUUGUCGUCAGCUCGUGUCGUGAGAUGUUGGGUUAAGUCCCGCAACGAGCGCAACCCUUGUCUCAUGUUGCCAGCGGGUUAUGCCGGGGACUCAUGGGAGACUGCCGGGGUCAACUCGGAGGAAGGUGGGGAUGACGUCAAAUCAUCAUGCCCCUUAUGUCUUGGGCUUCACGCAUGCUACAAUGGCCGGUACAGAGGGCUGCGAUACCGUGAGGUGGAGCGAAUCCCAAAAAGCCGGUCUCAGUUCGGAUCGGGGUCUGCAACUCGACCCCGUGAAGUCGGAGUCGCUAGUAAUCGCAGAUCAGCAACGCUGCGGUGAAUACGUUCCCGGGCCUUGUACACACCGCCCGUCAAGUCACGAAAGUUGGUAACACCCGAAGCUCACGGCCCAACCCUUGUGGAGGGAGUGUUGAAGUGGAUUCCGU
rnacentral:rRNA from 1 species